rnacentral:rRNA from 1 species
GACGAACGCUGGCGGCGUGCUUAACACAUGCAAGUCGAACGGAAAGGCCCUGCUUGCAGGGUACUCGAGUGGCGAACGGGUGAGUAACACGUGGGUGAUCUGCCCUGCACUUCGGGAUAAGCCUGGGAAACUGGGUCUAAUACCGGAUAGGAGCCAUUUUUAGUGUGAUGGUUGGAAAGUUUUUUCGGUGUAGGAUGAGCUCGCGGCCUAUCAGCUUGUUGGUGGGGUAAUGGCCUACCAAGGCGGCGACGGGUAGCCGGCCUGAGAGGGUGGACGGCCAAAUUGGGACUGGGAAACGGCCCAGACUCCUACGGGAGGCAGCAGUGGGGAAUAUUGCACAAUGGGCGCAAGCCUGAUGCAGCGACGCCGCGUGGGGGAUGACGGCCUUCGGGUUGUAAACUCCUUUCGCUAGGGACGAAGCUUUUUGUGACGGUACCUAGAUAAGAAGCACCGGCUAACUACGUG